GCUGAUGUAUAGACAACAAUUAUGAGAGUCGACAAAGAGAAUCGAUUGGCAUCUGGUUGGUAAGAUUAAAUGGAUCUAACCAUUCAGUCUGCUGAUUGAGGAUGAUCUAUCUUAAUAUGAAUCAAUUUAGAUACGAAGUUUCUGUGUUUAGUGGAUAAAAAUUAAUAAAUUUUAUUUUUUAAUAAAUAUUUAUUUUUUGAAAAAU
rnacentral:lncRNA from 1 species